GAAACAUUAGGCUAUUAUACAUAAGGCAAUAGGCAAGCAUAUAGAAUGCGACAAGGAGAAUAGUACCCCAUAUUAGUUGGAGUUGACCAUACAAACUCUUACAUCCAUUCCAUAUUAUAUUUCAUUACUAACUAAUUUGUCUUGCAAGGCAAAUUAGUAGUCUCAUAGAAGACCAUUAUCCAGACAAAAGCUUCAAAGCAUUUAUUAUUGCCUUAAUCUGUUUCAACAAGUUGCAUUAGAGCAAAAGAGUACAUGAGCAGUUCUGAUACCCUCAAGCUGUCUACUGUAUAGUGUACAACAGCUCCAUCGGGAAUGCCCAAAUGUUAGCAAAUUGCUCAUUGUGCACCUAGGACUUCAAUCUCAAAAACCAGAACUGAGUUGGGCUGAAUACCCCAUGCUGGAAAUCCACCAGCACCAUAAGCAUAAUCAGGGGUGCACGUUAAUCGAGCAACUUCUCCCAAUUGCAUGCCCAGUACUCCUUCAUCCCAUCCUUUGAUAACUUUGCCUUGGCCGAUCUUGAAAGAGAAAGGCUGCUGGCCUGGAUCCUUAGUGCUCCAGAACUUCUGACUCAGGUCUCUAUCUUUCCCGUAACCAGUGCAGUGGACGGUAACAGUUUGACCAGGCUGCGGUUUGGGGCCAUUUCCGGCUCUGAUAACUUCCUUCUCCACUCCCAUUUUUUCCGGUGAUUUUGAUGAAAUCUCCGACUUCUUGAUUUAGGGUUUGAUGACUGAAACUGUAGUGCUUGUCAAUUUCAAGGGUCAGUGUCACGUGAUUCUCG
rnacentral:misc_RNA from 1 species